rnacentral:tRNA from 1 species
GUUGGUGCUGUCCUUUCCCCUGCGGCCUCUGCUCUGGCGGCAGUACGCGGGCCGAGCUCCAGGCACGUGCGGGUAAGUAAAGGCCAAGUGGGCAGAAGCCUUGGACGUUUACUAGUUUGGGGCGAGAGGCAGCUGUGGGGAGGCUUCUUCCCAGGGACAGGACGAAAUUGGGGUUCGUUCCAUCAUAACCCCGUGUUUGGAGGGCAUCUUGAAGAGUCGCUGGGAGAUGGUAGCCCUAGAGUCGCCCCUUGUUUUCUGCCAGCCCUCUUGUCCCUGGAGAGUCUCCUACAGCUGGUCUCCGAGAUCCUCGCUUCCCUGGCGCCAGAGCCCGGAGCUUGGGAAGAUUUGUGAUGAGCACGUGUCCGGGUGGAGCUCGGUCAAGUCCUGCAACCCAGUCCCCUAAAAGGGGCAGGCUGUGUUUAGAUUAGUUUUUAGACCUGGACAAUGAGCCUAUUUUACCUUUUCUCCCAAUGUUUGGGGGUGGUUAAAAGUGAAAUUAAAGGAUGGCUGGAAAAACAUAUGGUCUUAGAUACCCUACUCUUAUUAUGUAAAUAAGGUAAAUUAUAAUUGUGAAUGGGUAGGAAUGUUUACUAACAUUCUUGCAAACACUUGAGUUACUGCUUUCAACAACAGUUGAGGUCGUUGGUAGGAAUGGCAGCAUGUCUCCGUUUCCUUUCAUACCCAUUACUGCAUCUUGUUAUUUUUCUGGAGUACCGCUUUUAUUGUGCUUCAAAAGGUCUCCUAACCACGUUUUCUCCAAUCUAGUUUUAACUAGCCUUUCUGAUUUGCACUGCCCAUUGCUCUACCAAGGUAACAUUUCCCCUUUUACUCCCCCUAUUUAUCAUAUCCUUGUCUGGAAUGUAGCUUUUUAUAACAGCAAGUAUUUAUUGACCACACACUCUAAAACAUAUUAUAUAGGCUUAUAUAAGCUUCUUAAGCCUAACAACCAUCUUUUGUACAGGGUACCAUUGAUAACAUUCCUAUUUGACAGAUGAGGAGACUGAGAGGUAUAGAGAGGUUAAGUUACUUGUUCACUGUUUCGUUUUUUUAUAUUUUUUAAUGUUUAUUUUUGAGAGAGAGGGAGACACAGAAUCUGAAGCAGGGUCCAGGCUCUGAGCUGUCAGCACAGACGCGUGCCGGGGCUUAAACUCACAGUUGUGAGAUCAUGACCUGAGGAGAAGUCAGAUGCUUAACCAAGUGAGCCACCCAUGCACCCCACUUGUUUGUUCACUGUUACAUAGUUGUUAGGUGAUAGCUUAUACUUGUUGACUAGACCAUUAAUAUGCUCCUGUUGAGGGGUUCCUGGCUGGCUCGGUUGUAAGAGCAUACAGUUCUUGAUCUCAGGGUUGUAAAUUUGAGCCCCCCCGCCCCCCGUUAGGUGCAGAUUAUAUAAAACUUAAAUCUUUUCUAGGGUCACCUGGGUGGCUCAGUCAGCUAAGAAUCUGACUCUUGGUUUCUGCUCAGGUCAUGAUCUCACGGUUCAUGAGUUCAGCCCUGCACUGGGCUCCGGGCAGACACUGUGGAGCCUGCUUGGGAUUAUUUUUGCCCCUCCCCAAUUUGUGCUGUCUCUCUCAAGAAAUAAAACUUAAAAAAAUCUUUUAAAAAAAUGCUCCUGGGGCGCCUGGGUGGCACAGUCGGUUAAGCGUCCGACUUCAGCCAGGUCACGAUCUCACUGUCUGUGAGUUCGAGCCCCGCAUCAGGCUCUGGGCUGAUGGCUCAGAGCCUGGAGCCUGUUUCCGAUUCUGUGUCUCCCUCUCUCUCUGCCCCCCCCCCCGUUCAUGCUCUGUCUCUCUCUGUCCCAAAAAUAAAUAAACGUUGAAAAAAAAUUAAAAAAAAAAUGCUCCUGUUGAACUGCUGUGGUACAUAGGUAAAAAACGUGAAAAUAAAGCUAACCAAGGGAAAGGUUUUUGUUUUACUGUCUAUUUCUCUGGCUCUGAAAUAAGUUAUGGGGUUUUGAGGGUAGAGGUCUUGAAAUUUACACAAGUGUUCACUACUGUUAGCUGCCUAACCCAGAGUACUUGGAUUGCAGAGGGGCCAGCCAUGGGCUUUGGAUAGAUGCAGCCCCAGGUGAGUGCAAUUUCAUUAGCCUGCCUUUGGCCCCAGCUGUAGGCAGCUGCCUAGGUUGCUGUGUACCUAGGCAAGUGUUACGCUGCUGGGAGAAUAGCAGCCGUGAUAGCUGGUUGGCAUUCUGGGCCUGGUUCAUUCCAACUCUGUUGUUAACUAUACCAGGAUGCCAGCAUAAUUGUUCAUUCAUUAAGGUGAAAUCUGUAAGGGCAUGACUUUGCAGGGAGAAACCUAAAAAUCCAAAUCUUUCUGAGUGGUUCUGGUUCAACAGGUUUGUCUAGUUGAACUUGCUGGAAACAGAACAAAGGUAAUCAAGCCAUGAAGGGAUGUAGAAGUAUAGGGAGGGGUGCAAUUUUCACUGAAAUCAAAGUGCCUGUCCCCCACUCCACCAUACAAAGCUAGUCUCUCUGAAGGGAAUUCUAUAGCUGCAGUGAUCUAUAGGGAUGCUUUAUUAAGGAAAUGUUACGUGAAUUUGCUUUAAAAUUCUAGGCAUUCUUCUCUAGCUCUUUAAUAAAAUAUAAAAAUACCAAUUGAUUGAGAGGCUCUACAUAGUAGGCCUAGCUAUAACCGUACUAAUUUCUGCUUUAGGCUGACAGUAUAUUUGUGUUGGUUUCCCACAGAGUUGUUGCCCCUUCAGGGCAGUAAAAUAACGAGUCCCUUUUGUAGUGAUUUUGUUUUGGAUUGCUAAUUCUCUGAGAAGAGAUGCUUCUCAGUUCUAGGCAAACACACAGCACUCAUGGUGGUGCUGGAGAUUGUCCAAUAGGAUUGACUUAGUUGCUACUUCUGUGAAAAGUGACAUCCUAGUUUCCAUAGGAGGAACUCCUGAGGAUGUUGGGAGGUGGGGGAGUUAUUUAUAAAAACUAGUUUUGUUCCAACAAUUGGCUUUCCCUAAAAAGAGUUCUCUUAGUUAAAUGUUGAAUUCCUUGUGUGAAUACCUCAGAUGUUCAUUGUGAACAGCCUUUUACAUAUGGGGUUUUAAGAAUACUAGUGAUACCUAGAGGGUUUGGGGGAAUGGUUAGCUUUAUGGUAAUUAUAGGCAAGAAAAAGACAAUAGGAAAUAAAAUAAUUCUGGAGGUAUUGAAAAUAGGGUAAAUCGUAAAUGGCAGGCAGCACUGCUUCCAUUUCUACAGAAAAGAGGUUUUAGGAGCUGCUGUUUUAGUCAACACUGUUUAGUGUUCAACAGUGAAAUCUUUUUCUUUUUAGGAUGACUUGAAAGUAGGGCAUCCUUGGCCUUCCGGAAGAGAGUAAAUUCACGGCACGUGGACAGUCUGUAUGGCGUUCUCAGGUAAAUGUCCCUAUUAAUUCCAACACUGACUACUGCCUAUGUGGCAGGCCUAUUUGCUAGUUGGUAUCCGUUAGGAAACAACUGGGAGGCAAAAUCACCUGUAUUUGCCCCUGACAAAUUCGGCCUCUUAGCAGUGAAAGGCUAUUUUGGUGGUUCUAGUCUGAAGGUGUAUAGGAUCUUUGAGAUGAUCUGUAUCAUUCCAUCUGAGGAAUGUACAAGCAGAUUAUAAAGCCCAGGAUAGGAAGGAUGGCAUAUCUUGCCUAUUGGCAGCUAGAUCCCAAUCAUGGCACCUGGCACAUAGCAGGAACUCCUUGAAUGUUGGACAAAAUGACUAAAAGCAUGGGAAAGGGGUUCCUGUUUCCUAUUUGUCUAAAAGGCUUGGCAGCAAGGUCUGCUAUCAGUGCUUCCAGGCUUCUGUUUUGCAGUCAACAUUGAAUUCAUUGGGAUACCUGUAUCCAUAACUUCUACUUGGGGUGCCUGGGUAUCUGAAACAAAGAAAGCUGUUUCAGGAAUCAUCCAGCAGUUGUCAGCUAUCCAGGCCAGCAUGAUGCCUUGGAUGGUGUUACACUGUUGGAAGAGCAAACGCUGACCUUCUUGAGGUCUGGCUUCAAGCACUGUUUUGGUGUUGUGGCUGAUACUCUUGGGCAGUGUUUUGCACCUCUGAGAGUGGAGUAACUCCUCCUGUGGAGUUGGUCCUAGUCUGGGUGCAAACAAUUUUUUUUUCUUUGAGGAAAGGACCCUGUCUUAAGGAUACUUUAUCAUUCCUUUCCUCUUUGAAUCCUAGAUGCCUUUAUCUGAGUGAGAAAUCUGCCUCCAUCAGAAUCUCAGAUGUCUGACAGCCCUGUGUGACACCAGGAUAGGUAAUAUAUACAGUCCUUUGUCAUGUAGGUUCUAAUUAACUUUCAGCCUCAGAUGGGUGGUGUGAAAUAAUACAAAAUAUAUAUAUUGGCCUCUGCUCCCAUUCUUGGCACAGAGCUGCUAAAACUCUUGAAAUUCCCUAAGUGGUAAGAACACUAGGAGCAUCUUUUGUUCUAAUAUUUGGUUUUUCAUGCUGAUGCCUGACUGAGCUCUUAAAUCUAAGAAUUUCCUGGGUGAUUUAAAUGUCUUGUUCUAAUGAGGUGGUAACUAGAAAGACCAAGCACUGAUUAGAAACUUGGAAUUUUCAACCCCACUUCCAUUCUUCAGAAAGGGGAAAGGGGCUGGAAAUGGAAAUAAUUGAUUAUUCCCACAUGAUGAAGCCUCCAUAAAAAUCCCAGUAGUAUUGGGUUUAGAGAACUUUCAUGUUGGUGAACACAUGGAGGGAAGGUGCUGGGAGAGUAGCACAUCCAGAGAGGGUAUGGAAGCUCAGCAACCCUUUCCACAUAGCCUUGCCCUAUUCAUGUCCCAUCUGGAUGUUUAUAUCCUUUCCCAUAUCCUUUAAAAAAAUUUUUUUUAAUAUAUUUUUAAAUAUUUAUUUAUUUUAGAGAAAGAGAGUGCAAGCCGGGGAAGGACAGAUGAUCCAAAGUGGGCUCUGCAUGGACAGGAGAGAGCUCAGUGCGGGGCUUGAACUCAUGAACUGCGAGAUCAUGACCUGAGCUGAAGUCAGACACUUAACCGACUGAGCCACUCCAGCGCCCCUACCAUAUCCUUUUAAAAUAAAUUGGUAAAUUGUAAGGAAACCGUUUUCCUGAGUUCUGAGAGCUUUUGCAAAUUUAUCAAACCUGAGGAGGGGAUUUGGGGAAUCUGUGAUUUAUAUUGGUCAGAAGUACAGGUAACAACCUGGACUUAACGAUUGGCAUCUGAAGUGAGGGAGGAACAGUCUUAUUGGACUGUGCCCUUAACCUGAGGGAUCUGAUGAUACUCGAGGUAUAUGGAGAGUCAGAAUUAGGCUAAAAUGUACGACACCCAGCUGGUGACACAAAUUUGCUUGGUGUGGGAGAAAAUCCACACACAUCCAGUGUCAAAAAUGUUGAGAGAGUGGUAGUAGUGUGAGAGUAAAGGAAAAAUACAAAGUUAGGUUUUCUUGGGGCACCUGGCUGGUUCACUAGGUAGGGCAUGUAACUCUUGAUCUCAGGGUCAUGAGUUUAAGCCUCAUGUUGGGUAUAGAGCUUAAUUUACACACAGAAAAAUCUUCUAAAAAGUAAGGUUUUCUUUACAGGUGGAAAAAUUUACAAGUUCUAAAAAAUUAUAGGAAAUAUGAGAACAUUACAGAAGAAUACUAAAUCAAAAGUUCAAGGCUUAAACUAAGCUCUUAUUUUCUAGAGCUCUGCAGUACAAUACAUGAGGCUAUUUCAACUGACAAAAAUUGAAUCUGUUUUUCCAUCUCAGUAUUUAGUGACUGCCGUAUUGGACAGCUCAGAGAACAUUUCCACCUGUGUGG